GGGAAGCACAUCUUCCCUCAGUCAAAUCUUAACAUGACUGCAGACUUGUGAGUAACCACGGGCCGGAGGACCCAGAUAAGCUGAACCAGGGUGCCUGACCCACGGAAACUGUGAGAUUAAUCCAAAGUUGAUUGAGGGCCCACCAUGUAUUAGGCAUUGCCAUAGAAUUCCUGAAGAUCUGAACACAGUGACCACUUGGCAGAAACUUCUAGGUGCAGAAACGUCGGAAGAGAAUUUCCCAAUUGUGUCCUGAGUGGUACUGUUGCUGCAAGAUCUCCUUGCCCAACACACAGCCCAUAAUGAUGCAUCCAAGGCUAGAAGACAUUUUGUAAGACAGAAAUCUUUGCAACUUUAUGCACUUUUCAAGCUUAUCUGAGCAAAAAAAUCUCCCCCCCCCGCAUGUAAUCAUUAAUUUGUAACUUAAAUAUGUAAAAAAAAUCACUAUUAAUUUCAGCAAAAAUCUCUAUAGUUAUUUAUUAAUAAACCACAUAAAGAAAUUGUGUAUUGCUUUGCUUAAUAAAUUGAGAAGAAACUUGAGCUCACUCUGGC
rnacentral:lncRNA from 1 species